ACCGCCGGGCUCAAUAAAUAAAUCUUUAAAAAAAUAAAAAUAAGAAAGAAGCAGCAGGGUCCCCGAAGCCAAGUGACAAAAGCAGCAGGAAGGAGCCAGCAGAGGCAGCCACUGGGCGCUCCUGCAGCUCCACUAACACUGAAUAUAUGGCAACAGUUCCUUCCCUCUGCUCAAGACUGUUGCUGUACAGAGGUGGCCUGUCCUGUCUCUGGUGCUGUGGCCAUACGGUUGCUGACACCCUGCCCCCCAGCUCUGACUCACUGGGGUUCUGUGCUCAGAUUCAAAGGCCUCCAUUGACUGCAGGGCUGAGGUCAGUUUCUCCCCUGCAGCCUGGUCUGCUGGGUGCACGACAGUCAAUCGUUAAUGUGUGGAGCCAGCUAGGCAGAAUGAGACCACUGUCCCACUGUCCUUUCUGUUAGGCCUUCCAUCAAAACAAGCCUCUCCUCAAAACAAGCAGGCUACUUUUAAGGUAUUUAGGAUCCUCUGGGUACUGAGCAGCAGAAGUGCCCACCAGAGGGCGAGUGCAAAGCUCGCUGGCUUGCUUGGGUGGCCCCAUAGCUUCUAUUUUUCUUCCUGGGAGAGGCCAGAGGGAGCAGCUAGGGAGUGGCCCAUGAGACAGACUGGGGUGGUCAGGAACACAAGCCAAAAAGGUCAUCCAGAGGGUGGUGGGGUGCUCAAGAGGGAGAUACUCCCUUCUCUUCCCCCAGCAACCUCAGACUGAGCCCCUUGGGGUUAUUUCCACAGGGAACCACAGCCAACCACUUAUUAGCCCAGCCCUCGGGCGGGGCAGGACAGAGCAGGGGAGGAGUAAGUGAGGGAGCCGUUUUGGGGAUCCUGAGAGUAGAGUGGACCUCCUGGGCAGGGAAGGCACUGGAUGUGAAGUAUGAAACCCUCAGGGAAGGGCUCCUCUGGCUCCGCCUCACAAUGGUAAUAUGACACCUAGAUCUCCAGGGCAACCAACAACAAAAAAGCCGAAGCUGGACAGCAGCUGGCUGUCAGCAGCCAAGAGCUCCUCUAAGAGGUGUCUGAGUGAGAAGCCGUGGGCAGGAAAGCGCAGCGCUGGUGAAGCCGGCAAAGGUGGCGGCAAAGGACUGAGAGGAAGCACAUAACUGCUCUCUUCUUGGGGUACCUCUUCUUGGCUCCCCAAUAUCUGAGCUCCCAGAACACAGGAGCCCUAGCAACAUGGCAGCCGCAGACUUUAAGGAGGAGAUUCGCUCUGUGGGUGAGAGGCUGCUGCUGAAGCUGCAAGGACUGCCCCAGGCUGAUCCCGUGGAGCUGGUGGCCUUCUCUAUCAUCCUUCUUUUCACAGGCAAGUGGGGCACCUGGCCUCUGGCCCUUUAGCCCCGUCCCCUCAGUGUCCUAUGGGCUCUUCCUGGUAAUCGGGAGACCACGCCAUGGUGCUGGCUGGAAGGUUGGGAAAUAGGGAAAGCGGUGUCCCAGGGAAAGCUAAGGGAGUUGCUAGGCAGUGCUGGAUACCACCGGGUAUCAAUCACAAACUGAAAGGAGUCAGGCUUGGGCAGUGGAGCAAGAGUCAGACAGGACCCUGUCAGCCACUCUGGUCUUUGUAACCACUGCUCCAGACUGGGGGACGGGGGGCAGAUCCUUUGGAAGGAGGGUGGGCAUCCCUUCCUCCCCUAGCUCUUCAGCCCUGGACCAUCCUCUCCCUUUAGCUACGGUCCUGCUGCUGAUGCUGCUGGCCUGCAGCUGCUGCUGUGUGCGCUGCUGCUGCCCCGACAGGAGACGCACGAAGAUCCUCGUGCAACCCGUAAAACCCAGAUGAGGGACAGCAGUAUGAUGACCCAGGAGAAGCGGGACAGAAGCCUUCCCAAACUGUGACACAGACUAUCAUCCUGGCCACUUCUGGCACUGAGUUCUGGCACUGUCCAGGUGACAGACAGGGUAGACAUCUGGAGACUUACAAGGAAACAAGUGUUGCUCAACCUGCCGAUGGACACCAGCGCUUAGAGGAGUCAACUGUUUGGAAAGCCCAGGAAAACGUUGAGGGCUUCUGCUGUACUUUUGAGGAGCCCCAUACUUUGAACAGCUCAUGGCUGUGGGGAGGCUGGCCCUUAAGCUCUGCUGAUUUAUGCCAAAGAGAAGUAAACUGAUCAGGGACUUUGCAAUUUACUAAACUCCAAGCCUCCGUCUGAAGGGGAGGGAACAGGUCAGUAUUCUAGCUGAAAUUUGCUUACUUCCAAGUAAAGCUUUUUUGGUUCCA